UCGCGGCCUAUCAGCUUGUUGGRGGGGUAAUGGCCUACCAAGGCGACGACGGGUAGCCGGUCUGAGAGGGUGACCGGCCACACUGGGACUGAGACACGGCCCAGACUCCUACGGGAGGCAGCAGUGGGGAAUAUUGCACAAUGGGCGAAAGCCUGAUGCAGCGACGCCGCGUGAGGGAUGACGGCCUUCGGGUUGUAAACCUCUUUCAGCUCUGGAGAAGCCUUCGGGUGACGGUAGGAGCAGAAGAAGCACCGGCUAACUACGUGCCAGCAGCCGCGGUAAUACGUAGGGUGCGAGCGUUGUCCGGAAUUAUUGGGCGUAAAGAGCUUGUAGGCGGUUUGUCGCGUCUGCUGUGAAAUCUCAAGGCUUAACCUUGAGUGUGCAGUGGGUACGGGCAGGCUAGAGUGUGGUAGGGGAGACUGGAAUUCCUGGUGUAGCGGUGGAAUGCGCAGAUAUCAGGAGGAACACCGAUGGCGAAGGCAGGUCUCUGGGCCACUACUGACGCUGAGAAGCGAAAGCAUGGGGAGCGAACAGGAUUAGAUACCCUGGUAGUCCAUGCCGUAAACGUUGGGCACUAGGUGUGGGCCUCAUUCCACGAGGUCUGUGCCGCAGCUAACGCAUUAAGUGCCCCGCCUGGGGAGUACGGA
rnacentral:rRNA from 1 species